rnacentral:rRNA from 1 species
GUAGGUGGCAAGCGUUGUCCGGAAUUAUUGGGCGUAAAGCGCGCGCAGGCGGUCCUUUAAGUCUGAUGUGAAAGCCCACGGCUCAACCGUGGAGGGUCAUUGGAAACUGGGGGACUUGAGUACAGAAGAGGAAAGCGGAAUUCCAAGUGUAGCGGUGAAAUGCGUAGAGAUUUGGAGGAACACCAGUGGCGAAGGCGGCUUUCUGGUCUGUAACUGACGCUGAGGCGCGAAAGCGUGGGGAGCAAACAGGAUUAGAUACCCUGGUAGUCCACGCCGUAAACGAUGAGUGCUAAGUGUUAGGGGGUUUCCCGCCCCCUUAGUGCUGCAGCUAACGCAUUAAGCACUCCGCCUGGGGAGUACGGCCGCAAGGCUA